UGAAUGGCAUAACGAGGGUUUGACUGUCUCUUAUUCUCAAUCAGUGAAAUUGACCUCCCCGUGCAGAGGCGGGGAUUUAUAUACAAGACGAGAAGACCCUGUGGAGCUUAAGACUAAUAAAUUAAUUCAACUUAUUACUAAAUCCAAGGAAACAAUAUAACGAAACAUAAUUUAUAGUCUUUGGUUGGGGUGACCUCGGAGCACAAAAUAACCUCCGAAUGACAUAACUAAGAUUAACAAAUCUAAGUGUAAUAAUACCAGUAAUUGACCCAUAUUUUGAUCAACGGACCAAGUUACCCCAGGGAUAACAGCGCAAUCCUAUUUAAGAGCCCAUAUCGACAAUUAGGGUUUACGACCUCGAUGUUGGAUCAGGACAUCCAAAUGGUGCAACCGCUAUUAAUGGUUCGUUUGUUCAACGAUUAAAGUCCUACGUGAUCUGAGUUCAGACCGGAGAAAUCCAGGUCGGUUUCUAUCUGUAUAUUUAUUUCUCCCAGUACGAAAGGACAAGAGAAAUAAGGCCAACAUUAACAGAUGAGCCUUAGAAUUAAUAUAUGAACUUAUCUUAAUAUCCUUAUUCAAUA
rnacentral:rRNA from 1 species